UAUCCCACUUUGUUGUCAGUUUUACAUUUUUACGCCACUUCUAGUUCUCUUGUCGCUGUGAGGUCUUUCAGGGUGGAUAAAAGCUGAACGUUGCAAGCGGAAAUUCGGCAGGAAGGUGUGUAGAAGGUAGAACCGAGAAACUGGGACCCAGCUCAGGGCCGGGGGUUUGGGACGGCUUCUGCAUUUGAGGAGGGCUUUGAGAGGAUGCCGCUUGAGGAGAGAUGUUUGCAUGGAUCAUCAACGGCCCAACUGGAAUAACAGGUUGCCUGAGAAAAGGCGCAGAGGAGAACAGGUCAGAGGAAGAGGUGGGUCAACGCUCGUAGGUGCUCAGGCAAGAGAAAACUAUUUGGCACAGGACUUCUCAAGUUUCCACUUUGCAUUCCUAGAAGUCCUCCUAGGAGUGAAAGCACAGUGAUUAAUACGUUUCCAAUACGGAAGGACACAGAAGUUUGUUCCCUGCUUCACAGGGGUGAUGCCUGCUCAGUAAGAACACCUGACUUUAUACGGUUCUUUGGUGGCCAAUUUUUGACUGGAAACGUUUGGAGCCUGUUUUGAAGCUGUGCAGAAGAGCGUGCUUGCGUCAUCCAGAAAAUGCAACUUGGGAUGGUUUUUACGGCGUUAAGAGCUGUGCUACGGCUACAAGUUAUGCAGCUGUGUUGGGAUCGCUCUUCUGCCAUUUCAUCCACCCUGUGAGGACAAGAGCACAUUGAAGAGCCGCAGCGGAGGUGUGGAAACGUGCGCACGGCUCCUAGCCGGGCAACGGCCGGUGUUUGGAGUACUCCCUGCUCCUGGUGUCGCCAGCGCAGGAGGGUUUGGUGUUUACACACGCUGCUCUUUGCAUCCACCCACAUGUAGACAAAACAGAUAUGGAGUGCCUCCUUCCUUCAAACCGAACGUUAUUCCUGGGAGGCCCUUUCAGGGAUCACAUGUGCUGUUCUCGCAAGGCUUUCUCUUCCUGAGCAUGUGAAAUACUCAAAGUCUGUUGUGAUGCUGGUGCGUUGUUUGUUUUGCUAUCCGCUGUAGUGUUUGGGCACCUCAAAGCCACAGGUAAAUUUAUCUUUGUGAUAUAUUUGUGGAGGCAGGAAGGGUCCAUACAGUGGCAUAAGCAGUGAAAUUGGAGAGAACGUCUUGUACUUCAGAUCCUCCACUGAAUCCCUAUUACUUUUACCUCAAACUUGAGAGCCCGUUUUCCUAGUUUACAAGGCCAUCUUGUUACACAAAACACACUGAGCCUGUUCCUCUCAGCAGAGAUAGUAAAACAAAGCAGAACCUCCCCCCCGGAGCAGCCUCCCCUCCGGAUACGGCUUUUCCUGUGGUGGGACAGAGCACUCGUAAUGCAGCUUCAGCAGAUGCGUCCAAGCCCAGUCCCUAGUGACAAAGCUGUCCUCCAGGAUCACCUUUCCAAAAAAGAAAGGACCAGUUUUGGAGGGUGAAGAGCGAAGAAAACUGAGAAAAGUAGGCACCAUUUUCGUAGGCAGCCCUGCCUCUGCUCUUGCUUAAGGAAUCCUGCGGGGUGCCUUGAUAGCUACGUUAUGUAACAUGGUGCUAAAGCAUUUGGGAUGGAUGUUCCUGUCUGUCCCGCCAACUUGGCCUUGUUCUACUUUGCAAAGCUGAAUCAAAGCGUUGCUAGCUCCUAGGGUUUGCCGUGGUGUCUCUGCGCUUAGCUGCUUUCAAGUUGCUGAUCGUUCACGUGUCUACGAGAGGAUUCCUUGCUAGCGUUUCGCUUCCCCAUGUUUGCUAAUUCACGCUGGAUAUAUCCGUUCCAUGAGCUCGUUCCAGCUGCAUUGCGCAUUGAUCCAUGUAUUAUUCCGUGUGGAUAGACUACUCUGACACUGCGUUAUCGGGAAUAUAAAAAUGUUUUGUGACUGUACUUUAACGUGCACACACUUCAGUGCUAGAGUUUAGGUUUAACUGUCUUGCUGUAGCUGUUACGUUCAGACCGUGAGAGAUUGAUUAGUUCAUUUUGACUGAAGAGUGAUCUGGUGCUCAGCAAUGUUUAUGCAAAUUAAUGUGACUCAUUUAUAUCUUUAGAGUUGAAUUUAAAUAGCUAUAAAAUUUUAGAAUUAGGCAAGUAAUUGCAUUACAGUUUUCCAACUUCUGUGAAAGAUUUCUUAUACCUAAGGCUAUAUUUCAAACCUGUGACCUCACUCCCAUAAAGUAAAACUAUUUCAUUACAUCACAGCUGUGCAAUUUGACUUUUGAUAGCUGACAUUUGCAUUUAUGUUGGAUCCAUUAAAUACGUGUCUACUUAAAAAGCAUCCAGGCAUGAAACAUGUCAGCAUGUAAAUGUAAAAAAUUUGGUAUUCUUUUGGCCAUCUCGGAGGCAGUUUUGUGGAACACGAAUGAAUCGUAGACCUCACUUUCAUCAUCAUCCCCUGCUUGGUUUCCAGAAAAAAAUGAUUAAUGAUUUUGCCGUUGCAGCUGCAAUAUAUGAUUAUAGUCUGACUUCACUAGUGAUACAUACGGAAAUAUUUCUGCAGUUAAUGGGCAUUAUCAGCUCGGCAGCAUGUGACUAAGGCUGUGCUCAGAUCUUGCACUGAGCAGCAUCUUGGAGAGCAGGUUCCCUUGCAUGGUCACUUUGCCACCUUUGUAUAGUGAUAUCAGUUCACAGUUUAUAUUAUCCAAAUAAAUAUUUGAGGAGUUUAGUG